rnacentral:tRNA from 1 species
CAAGAUGAGUCGCACGACUCCAUAAACA